AACAGAUUCAAGCCUGCACAGCAGUGACUGGAGAUACAGCAACCUUGUAUGAAAAGUGCCGAUAAGACAGUGCAGCCAACAGAAGGUUGCAUCUCUGCGCCCACGGUCCUGCUCGACAGUGGCUGAGACGUGCAACACAGUUGCGCCCAACUUCCCUCUAUGCUACAAGCACCCCAGGAGCUACUAUCGCCCAAAGAUGUCACAGGUGGUCAUGAUUCUUUGAGGCAGCGGAAUUUCACCGAAGUGCAUCUUUAACACCUUCAGUUUCUUUUCUACUGCAAGCCUGGUACUACAGCUUGUGGCCCGUGUAGAAGAAUAGAGAGG